GCCCAUUCAAGUUGGCAGUAAGGAGAAAAAGAUCUACCAGGCAAGUGCCUGCAAGUCAUAGUACCUCAGGGAUUCCAAUCAACAUUUGCUUGCUGGUGAGUGGUUCUACUUCAAGUUAAGAAACAAAUUCUCAUGGCAAACUGCUUGGAUACUGUUUCCCAAAAGUUAGAAGAACCAAGCCUGCAAGGUGGCAUGGAUUCCUCCGGAAGGACUCCACCCAACUUUGGUCUCAGCAGGCCCUGCUGAGAACAGCCUCGUCACAGAAAAGUGCUGAGGAGGAUGCAAAAGUCUCCAUCAAGGUGCCACUGUGAAAGAAGAAACAUAUUUGGUAUUUACUACAACCCUCCCGCCCACGUGGUCUUCUCACAGUAACAAAUGUAAUUCUGCUAGUAACUGUUUUGGUAAAUGAGUCAUAUUGUAGCAAUCUUCAUGAAUCAAAGAUAAUUAUAUUUUUACUCAGCUAGCACUGGUUAAGAAAACUCU
rnacentral:lncRNA from 1 species